rnacentral:rRNA from 1 species
UACGUAGGGUGCAAGCGUUGUCCGGAAUUAUUGGGCGUAAAGAGCUCGUAGGCGGCUUGUCACGUCGAGUGUGAAAGCCCCGGGGCUUAACCCCGGGUCUGCAUUCGAUACGGGGCAGGCUAGAGUGUGGGUAGGGGGAGAUCGGAAUUCCUGGUGUAGCGGUGAAAUGCGCAGAUAUCAGGAGGAACACCGAUGGCGAAGGCAGGUCUCUGGGCCAACUGACUCUGAGGAGCGAAAAGCUGGGGGGAGCAACAGGG